rnacentral:tRNA from 1 species
AGGGUUUUAGUUUAAUUAAAAUAUUUGACUUGCAAUCAGAAGAUGUGGAGUAACAUCUGCAAAUCCUA